UGGGAUAUCGUCUAAUGGUAGGACAGCGGUUUCUGGUACCGUCAGUGGGGGUUCGACUCCCUCUAUCCCAGCCA
rnacentral:tRNA from 1 species